GUAGCAGAAGAUAAAUACUUAUAUUGUAAAAAAUGGAAUCUGACGACGAAAGUGAUAUGGAGUGCGAGGUUUUAAUAAAUAUAUUUAUAAAUCGUCGCUCUCGUAUAAUGAGGGAAAGAAAAAAUUUUUUUAUAUAUUAUGAUGACGUUGAUUUUCGGGACAGAUUUCGUCUAACUAAACAGUCUGCUUGGAUGAUACUCGAACUAAUUAGGGACAAAAUCCAGCACAAAACUAAGAAAAAUGGUGCUAUGUCUCCCGGAUUAAUGCUUUUAAUAACAUUGCGUUUCUUUGCAACUGGCUGUAUGCAAAGAACUGGCGGUGACCUACUUAUGUGGCGUUUCAAAAAGUUCUUCCUGUCGCGCAAUAAGAAGAGUGUGCCACAACAUUUCAUUGUUAAGAGAACGCUUUGUAACCAUCCCAUUGGAAUUAGAAAGUCAAAGAGAAAUUCAGAGACAAUUUUAUAAAAUUGCAAAGUUUCAGUACAAUUUAUUUGUUUACAUAAAUCAGCUGUUAUUCUUACUAACAUCCCUGCUUUGUCAUUUUUGGGUUGCCAAUUAUGAAUAAUGGUGAAACGCUGCAAACUUAAGUGCAAAGUUAAAUAAAAAUCAAAAUUAAAAUUAAAUGAAACUUAAUUUUCAAUUAGAAAAUUUCGUGAAACCGGCUGUAAGUAUUUUCAAACUAAAAGGUAAAGUAAAAUGGUAAUGGGGAAAAGAAACAUUAUUAUUAUUUCUAACUGAAAAACUUUAAAUAAUGGUAUUUAUUUAUUUUUAGUAAAAAAAAUACGAGUUCGUAGUUGGGCGUAAUCGGACCACUGCCACGCCCACAAAACGCUAUUAACCGUACCAUAACUAAGCUUUAUAUGAAGAUAUAAAUCUCUAAUUUGGUAUAGGGCAUCGCAGUAGAGACACCUGUAGGCAAAAAAAAGGGGGUGUGGCCCGCCCUCUAAAAAGUUUAAUACAUAUACAUAUCUCCUAAUACAAUAAAGAAAUGAAAAUGGAAGAAAUCGGAAGAUAACACCGCUUCCUCUCCAUAUAACGGUACUGUUGAAAACUAGUAACGGGAUAAAACUUAGCACGAAUAAUGCCUUUUAUGUAUGCUGUCUUAUGACCAAAAAUUGUUCAAAUCCCACAAAAACUAUUCAAUCCCAAGUUACCGAAUAAAAUUUGAUGGAAAACUUGACUAAUAAUAGGAUUUUUGAACAUCCUGCUGACUCUUUAUGAUUUGUUUUUUCGUAUGUGUCAUGUUAAUAGUAUGUGGUAUUGUAAAAAAUAAAUAAAAUCGGGUCGAUACUACCCAAACCCAUAUUCUACGUAUAAUGAUUUCAGUUUUUCUAACAACCUUUAUGGUCUCUCAGUGUAUAAGCUAUAUAUAAGAUAUGUGUAGGGUUUUCAAUAAGAGCCUUUGAAAGUACAUUCGAUGCCAUUAUGUAUGGGACUCGACUACUUUUGCAUGACCACCACGGGCACGUUUGCAGAAGUCCAGACGCUGAACCCAAUUUUCGAAGGGUUUUCAAGCAUAAAUCGGCUACUGGUGAAAUUUUACUUCGAUAUUCGUAUGAAAUUCAUCAAUCGUCGCUGGCUUGUUAGCAUAGACUUUACGUAGCUCCACAGGAAAUAGUCUAACGCCGUCAAAACGCACGACCGAGGCGGGUUUUCGCCGGACUAAUCAGAUGUUAUCCUUGCAAUAGCUAAAUUAAUCAAUAUUAACCAAGUCACAAUUUAGUAUAUAAAUACUUAGAUCCCCUGGGUGGCCGAGCAGCUGAAAAUGAUAUUGCAAUAUGAAAUUCUCUUUACAAAUGCCCAAUCUAUAUUUUUAACAGUGGCAUUAUUUGAAAAUAUUACCAUCCAUACCUGUACAUGUAACAACACCACAAAUUAUUAACAGUUUUUUGCUCGAGUUUUUGUUCAGAAUUUCAUUGGCUUGAAAGAAACAUUUAGAACAGGCUUGACACAUUGUAUAUGGUUUCGUAUCGUCCUACAAUUUGUACUACAUGUCUGUUUAGAAUAUGGAGAGUUUUAAUUUUUAGUUUUAUAUCAAUUACAAAAUAUUGUCUUAGUAUUUUAAAAGUUUUAAUGAUUUUCAUGG